UCUUCUCUCUGCUACAGAUUUCUAACUUAACAGGAAAGGCAGUUUUCCUCAAAAAGGGCAAAGAACAGCGGGAACAGUAGAGGGCACCUUCAACCCCAGCAUGGAAUUGACGUUCCUGCUUCAAAAUGAACCAUCACAGCAAUCUUGGCUUUUUGAUUUGGACCCUCAUUUCUCUUAUAAUUUGAACUUAUAUUGGAGAGAAGGGGCCUGUCUCUUAAGCCAGCUAGUUUUUGUACUGGAUAUUUAUAUAUCAUUUCAUUUGUUCCUUAGUGUUUUUUCAUUUCUAUUAUGAUUUGUUCUGUGGGAUGUGACUUACCGGUGUGUUUUUCACGUUUAUAAAGCUGAAUACUUCUGUAUGUCAGCUUAGCACCCCUAGCAUCAGCCAUGCUACUCUCCUGCUGUGCAUAGAUGGGGGCCUGUCCCCCUGCUGAAUCUCCUGGGUUCCUGCUGUCAACACCUGAAGGUACCCACCAGAUGUGUCUGUCACUUCCCUCCAUCCACCUCUCUUGUGUUUCUCAUGUUUCUGCCUCCCUAGAGACCAUUUCUCUCUAGAGCAGUGCUUUCCAAUAGAAAUACAAUGCCAGACACAUACGUCAUUUUAGAUUUUCUAGUAGUCACUUUAGAAAAGUUAAAAAGAGGCUGGGCAUGGUAGCUCACACCUGUAAUCCCAGCACUUUGGGAGGCUGAGGUGGGCAGAUUAGCUGAGGUCAGGAGUUCGAGACCAGCCUGGCCAACAUGGUGAAACCCCGUCACUACUAAAAAUACAAAAAUUAGCCGGGUAUGGUAGCAGGUGCCUGGGAUUACAGCCUCCCGAGUAGGCUGAGACAUGAGAAUCACUUGAUUCUGGGAGGUGGAGGCUGCAGUGAGCCGAGGUCAUGUGCACCACUGCAAUCCAACCUUGGCAACAGAGCAAGACUUUGUCUCACACAAAAAAAAGAAAAGAAAGAAAAGUUAAAAGGGAGCAGGUGAAAUUAAUAAUGUGUUUUAUUUCACCUAAAAUGUUAGUAUUAUCCAGAAUAUCACUUCAACGUCUUAUCAAAAUAAAAAUUAUUAAUGAGAUAGUUUGCAUUCUUCCUCUUUUUUGAGAUGGGCUCUUGCUUUUUUUUUGGCCCAGGCUGGAAUGCAGUGGCACCAGCAUAGCUCACUGCAGCCUCAAACUCCUGGGCUCGAGAUCCUCCUGCCUCAGCCUUCCUAGUAGUUAGGACUACAGGCACACACCACCAUGCCCAGCUAAUUGUUUUUCUUUUUUGUUUGUUUGUUUUUCUUUUUUUUCUUUUUUCUUUUUUUUUUUUUUUUGAGAGGAAAUCUCACUCUGUCACCCAGGGUGGAGUGCAAUGGCAUGAUCUCAGCUCAUUGCAACCUCCGCCUCCCAGGUUUAAGUGAUUUUCCUGUCUCAGCCUCCCAAGUAGCUGGGACUACAGGCGUGCACCACCAUGCCUAGCUAAUUUUUUUGUAUUUUUAGUAGAGACAGGGUUUCACUAUGUUGGCCAGGCUGGUCUUGAACUCCUGACCUCAGCUGAUCCACCCACCUCGGCCUCCCAAAGUGCUGGGAUUACAGGUGUGAGCCACUGCGCCAAGCCUUUUUUUUUUGAGAUAGGGUGAUAGGGUCUCACUCUGUCACCCAGGCUGCAGUGGUAUGAUCUUGGCUCACUGCAACCUCUGCCUUCCAGGUUCCAGUGAUUUUUCCCACCUCAGCUUCCCUAUUAGCUGGGACUACAGGUACACGCCACCACACCUGGCCAAUUUUUUGUAUUUUUUGUAUACAUAGGGUUUCACCAUGUUGGCCAGGCUGGUCUCGAACUCCUGACGUCAAGUGAUCCAUCUGGCUUGGCCUCCCAAAGUGCUGGGAUUACAGGCGCGAGUCACCGCACUUGGCCUUAGCAAUCUUUCAAGUGCUCAGCAGCCACAUGUGGCAGUGGCUGCCUUAUUGGACAGCGCAGCUCUGAACGGUGAUUUUAUGUACAUCCCCACUGCUCUCUCUGCCUCCUUUAUUCCCAUCUACCCCACACCCCUGAUGUCUAUUGGAGGGAGUCUACUGGGAGUGUGGAGGCUUUCCUGUCCCUAGCAUGGAUGACAUCAGCAGGUGGUGAUGAAAGUGAUUAAACAGCAUUCUCAUCACAAAAAAAAGUCAAGUAUUUGAGGUAAUGGGUUGGUUAAUUUGAUUUCAUCAUUCCACAUCGUAAUGAAAAGUCAUACCAUCAUUUUAUACCCCAUAAAUAUAUAUAAUUUAGAAGAUAGAUAAAAAUCAGCCAAAACAAUUCUUUGAAAUAUUUUUAAGCAAACAUGUACAAUUUAUGGGGUACAAUAUCAUUUGUUAGUAUAUAUAAUUUUUUUUUAUGGGGAGUCAGUUAACACAGGAAACAGCCCCUUGAAAGGGAGAUACCCCCACACCCCUGGAGUAGCCCCUGGAGGACUAUCGCCUCCCUCUCUCCUCUCUUUCUGUCUCAUAUUCCUUUAAUUUGGAGAAUCAUUUCCAAUUCCUUAACAUUCUGGCCUGAUUUUUUUCUGUCUUACAUUCAAAGGUCACAGUUUUCCUCUCACCCUCAUUUCAGUCUUUUCCCAUAAGAUGUGACAUGCCUUUUUGUCUUGGUUGGGCAUUUAUUUGCAAUACAAGAAUGAUUGUUUUCUUUGAUACAUUAAUGACUUAGAUACUUUUCCUAGUAAAAUGUAUCUUAACAGAAUUCCAAAUUAAUUCUAGACAGCAUAUUUUUAAAGGUGUGUAUAGAGCUCCUUAUGUUUCUUCCUUGAUUUUUAAAAUGACAUAUUUAGGUCUAUAUAUUUUAGGAUAUAAGAUCUCUAUGUGUUGCUUUGCUUCAUUGAACAUUUUUGGUGAUUAUUUUUAUUUUCUGUGUAUUUUAGGAUUUCCAUUAAACUAUAUUCUCAUUUCAAAUUUCUAUCUGAGUGAUAGAAUUAUUUUAAUGUAGGAAAGGUUCAUCAAAAAUGGGUGUAGUGAUUGUGUUCUUUCCUAUGCUCGAAUGGAAAAUGAUGAGGGGACAUGAUGUUAGAGUUGCAGUGAGAAGGGGUGGAAAAGAGGGAUUCCAGAGUGCCAGGCACACAGGUUUUCUGGAAGGUUUACAUGAGGACUGCUGUGGUUUGAAUGUGUUCCCCGAAGUUCAUGUGUUGGAAACUCAACCCCUAAUGCAACAGUGUUGACCAGUGGAACCUUUAAGAGGUGAUUAGGUCAUGAAGGCUCUGCCCUCAUGAAUGGAUGAAGCUAGAGUGGGUUAGUUAUCUUGGGAGGGGGUUCCUGAUAAAAGGAUGAGGUUGGCUUCCUUCCCUUUCUCUUUCCCCCUCCCCCCUUCACAUGUGGUCACUCUCUUGCCCUUCCACCUUCCACCAUAGGACGGCACAGUGAGACCUUCACCAGAUGCAGGCCCCUCACUUUCCCAGUGUUCAGAACCGUAAACCAAGUGAACUCUUGCUUAUAAAUCACCCAGUCUGUGGUAUUCUGUUAUAGCAACACAAACGGACUAAGAGAGGGACACUCAGUGGGCUCUUCUCUCUACUUGAUGGAGCACUCCCUGCGUGGUGCCUUGUAUUUGUAGACAUGAUGCUGUAAAUGUUUUUUGAAUGUCUUGAAGGCUUUUGUUUGAGGAGUUUACAGAGAAGCCCCUACAGGCUUCAGGUCCCUUCUUCUGUUGCUUCUUUGCUCCUUAGUUCCUCCCCUAACCUGGUGCUAAAUUAGAUCAUAGUGUGGUCCUUGGACCAACAGUAUCAAUAGCACCUGAAAGUCAUGCUGGAAAUACAGAUUCACAGGCUGCUCCCCAGAAUACUGAAGAAGAAACUCUAGGAGUGAGACCCAACAAUCUGUGUUUAACAAGUCCCCAGGCCCCUGGAUCCUCCUGGAAUCCCUGAUCCCUGUUGCUCCCUGGCGGAGUUUUCUAGUCCCUCUUACUUGAAGCAUGUCUUUCAGAGCCCGGCACCACCCAAGUUGGGUAUCUGCUACACCUCUAUGGUAUUUUUUUCACCUCAUAUCAUACCUUCCUCCCUCACUGGACUUCAGUGUGGGACCUGCAGGUCUCAGGCCUUCUGGGAAGUCCCAGCUUUUCUUGAAUGUUCUCUCUCUCUGGCCAGCUCAGGCUGGAGCAGUGGGUGUUGGUGCCAUCCUGUGGCUAUAGGUGAUAAGCCGGCUGUUCUUCACUGACCUGGUCUUACCUUGAACCCUGGAGUUCUCACAUGCAUGGAUUUAAAUGCUGUGUCUUUCUAAGGGCACAUUAUGGCCAUUUUCCUUAUCUCCCUCCCAAGGGGCUGUUUCCUGUAUUUAUUGACUCCCUGUUUAAAAAAAAUAUAUGUAUAUAUAGACAAAUUGGAUUGUACCCCAUAAACUGCAUGUUUUAAAAAUACUUCAAAGAAUAGUUUUUCAUUUUUUUCUUGCUGGUUUUUAUGUAUCUUCUAAAUUGUAUAUAUUUAUGGGGUAUAAAAUGAUGUUGUGAUUUUUCAAUACAGUGUGGAAUGAGAAUCAAAUUAACCUAUCCGUUACCUCAAGUACUUGACUUUUUUUGUGAUGAGAAGGCUGUUUAUCACUUUCACUCACCAG
rnacentral:lncRNA from 1 species